CACGUAGGGGACGAGCGUUGUCCGGAAUUAUUGGGCGUAAAGAGCUCGUAGGCGGUUUGUCGCGUCUGCUGUGAAAACUCGGGGCUCAACCCCGAGCUUGCAGUGGGUACGGGCAGACUAGAGUGCGGUAGGGGAGACUGGAAUUCCUGGUGUAGCGGUGGAAUGCGCAGAUAUCAGGAGGAACACCGGUGGCGAAGGCGGGUCUCUGGGUAGUAACUGACGCUGAGGAACGAAAGCGUGGGUAGCGAACAGG
rnacentral:rRNA from 1 species